rnacentral:rRNA from 1 species
UGGGUAACCUGCCUCAAAGAGGGGAAUAGCCUCCCGAAAGGGAGAUUAAUACCGCAUAAUAUGUUUAGGUCGCAUGACUUUAACAUCAAAGGAUUUUCUUUAGAAAUUCCACUUUGAGAUGGACCCGCGGCGCAUUAGCUAGUUGGUGAGGUAACGGCUCACCAAGGCAACGAUGCGUAGCCGACCUGAGAGGGUNAUCGGCCACAUUGGAACUUAGACACGGUCCAGACUCCUACGGGAGCAG